rnacentral:rRNA from 1 species
UCGGGAAUUUUGGGCAAUGGGCGAAAGCCUGACCCAGCAACGCCGCGUGAAGGAUGAAGUAUUUCGGUAUGUAAACUUCGAAAGAAUAGGAAGAAUAAAUGACGGUACUAUUUAUAAGGUCCGGCUAACUACGUGCCAGCAGCCGCGGUAAUACGUAGGGACCAAGCGUUGUUCGGAUUUACUGGGCGUAAAGGGCGCGUAGGCGGCAAUUCAAGUCAUCUGUUAAAUCUCCGGGCUUAACUCGGAACGGUCAGAUGAUACUGCUUUGCUAGAGUGCAGAGGGGGGCAAUCGGAAUUCUUGGUGUAGCGGUGAAAUGCGUAGAUAUCAAGAGGAACACCUGAGGUGAAGACGGGUUAGCUGGGCUGACACUGACGCUGAGGCGCGAAAGCCAGGGGAGCAAACGGGAUUAGAUACCCCCGUAGUCCCUGAGCGGGCUGGCAAGGCGCAU